rnacentral:rRNA from 1 species
GCGUUUGACCUCAAAUCAGGUAGGAUUACCCGG